ACAGAGGUCCCAAGCGUUGUUCGGAUUCACUGGGCGUAAAGCGUGCGUAGGUGGUUGUUUAAGUCUGUCGUGAAAGCCCUGGGCUCAACCUGGGAAUUGCAGUGGAUACUGGGUCACUAGAGUGUGGUAGAGGGAUGCGGAAUUUCUGGUGUAGCAGUGAAAUGCGUAGAGAUCAGAAGGAACAUCCGUGGCGAAGGCGGCAUCCUGGGCCAACACAGACACUGAGGCACGAAAGCGUGGGGAGCAAACAGGA
rnacentral:rRNA from 1 species